rnacentral:rRNA from 1 species
GUUGAACGCUAGCGUCAGGCCUAACACAUGCAAGUCGAACGAGUGGCGGACGGGUGAGUAAUGUCUGGGAAACUGCCUGAUGGAGGGGGAUAACUACUGGGAACGGUAGCUAAUACCGCAUACCAUCAGAUGUGCCCAGAUGGGAUUAGCUUGUUGGUGGGGUAACGGCUCACCAAGGCGACGAUCCCUAGCUGGUCUGAGAGGAUGACCAGCCAAACUGGAAUUGAGACACGGUCCAGACUCCUACGGGAGGCAGAACUGGGGAAUAGUGGACAAUGGGCGCAAGCCUGCCGCAGCCACGCCGCGUGGACCAAGAAGGCCUUCGGGUUGUAAAGCACUGUCACAGGGGAGGCGGUACCCGCAGAAGAAGCACCGGCUAACUCCGUGCCAGCAGCCGCGGUAAUUC